AGAAAGUUUGAAAAAAUGAACAGAGGAAAGGCAAGAAUAUUUAGCUGAAGUUUACACAUGUCCAGUGCUUUCUAGCCUCUGCUGAAUUAAGUGGAAUUGAUGUUAAGUCUUGGCUGUGUAUGGAGAUGGUGCCGCCUCCGCAGUGCAUUGACAUGCAAACCAGAUCCCACCAGAGACAUGGAGAGAAGUAUCAAACCGAGGACUGACUGAUGGAUGACUAAGGUUUGCUUAAAGUAGGUGCAAGCAAACCUCUUAUUAAAUCCUAAACACCGUAGCAUUAAGUACAGAGCUGUCAGAGAGAACAGUGCAAGACUGGAACAGUUUAGAAGAGGAGAGAACCAGCUAAAGAAGGAUAAUUAUAGAAUCUCUUGGCCCAAUGCCCGAGAAAAUUAGUUUUUUGUUUGUCUUGUGUGCCCCUUUGAGAGGAAGGGAUCCUGAAUGUUUGGAAUAGGUUGGAGAACUGUGGGGUUUUAAACUCUCCUUAUCAUGUCUGGAAAGAUCAAAACCUCAGGACAGAUGGACAGCCUUUUCCUCGCCCCAACAUUUCUCUGCAUAUCAAACACAGGAAGAGCUGAAGAAGAGAAAA